UUUAAUAAUUGUUUUGUCUUUGCAAUACCCAUGCUUUAUGAUAAUCUAGUGCUUUAGUUUGCAAUACCCAUAUUUUACCAAUUGCGUUUUGUUUUCAAGAUUACAGGAAAGACAUUUGUGCGGGGGAGUACCAUUUCAUAUAUACAUCUAUCUUUCCGUGGUGUGUAUUAUAUAUGGUUUUGCUCACGGACUCCUCAUCAUCCUUCAACGAAGAAAGUGAUGCACUUAUAUGAACAUACUCAUUCUCUAUAUUCGACGACCUAGUAAACCAAAACAAACUUGCUGAAGUUAGCCACCUUCCUUGGUGUCUCCCGGUGUUGAUUAUUUAGGUCCAUUGUAACAAGCAUGAUAUGACGUUGAAGGAUAAAG
rnacentral:lncRNA from 1 species